AACGAACGCUGGCGGCAGGCCUAACACAUGCAAGUCGAGCGAGCAUUUCGGUGCUAGCGGCGGACGGGUGAGUAACGCGUGGGAACGUGCCCUUUUCUGCGGAAUAGUCCUGGGAAACUGGGGGUAAUACCGCAUACGCCCUUUUGGGGAAAGAUUUAUCGGAGAAGGAUCGGCCCGCGUUGGAUUAGUUAGUUGGUGGGGUAAUGGCCCACCAAGCCGACGAUCCAUAGCUGGUUUGAGAGGAUGAUCAGCCACACUGGGACUGAGACACGGCCCAGACUCCUACGGGAGGCAGCAGUGGGGAAUCUUAGACAAUGGGGGCAACCCUGAUCUAGCCAUGCCGCGUGAGUGAUGAAGGCCUUAGGGUUGUAAAGCUCUUUCAGCUGGGAAGAUAAUGACGGUACCAGCAGAAGAAGCCCCGGCUAACUCCGUG
rnacentral:rRNA from 1 species